GUUCGGAAGUUUGGUCGAAGUAAGUAGUGAAAGAAAUGCUAUUACUAAAACCAUGGGAAGUAUCUCUCAAUCUAUGAUUUAGAAUAGAUUCAACCCACCUCUUGAACUCAUCCUUUGGCCAAGUUGGGUUUUUACAUAAUUUAGGGUGAUUUCUCUUGAAUUGGUCUCAAAAUUCCUAAUACAUCUCUUAAAAUUGUACUUUUUGCUUGGUUAGUGUUUACAAUAGUUUCCUUAGUAAACACAAAUACUAUGUAACUCUUUAGCCCAUGAGGAAUAAUUACUGACAGAGUGGAUGCACUAAGAUUGAGUUCUAUACCAUCUUCAUGUCUUAAAAAAAUAUUGAAUUUUAAAAACUAUUUUCAGAAUAUGAAAGAGUUUUCACUUUGAAGAAGUGCAAGGAUCUCUUGCAGUCAAGAAACAGUUUGUUGAAUAUACCAUCAAGGAAGCUGAAAGGUUUAAAAGAGGAGUCUUAAUUCAGCAACUUGAGAAGGUCCUAGAAAAAAUAGAAUCCUGCCACCAUCUCAAGAAAGUUAAUGAUCAGAAAAGUAAAUAAUUGUGUUCUUGUAAAGACCACUGAGAAGCAAGGAUGAAUUUUCUAUGCUGUAUGCUGCAAUGAGAUACUUCUUAAGCCCUCCUAAAAUGUAGUCAAGAAAAUUAUAGUCAAGAAAAGGAUAAGCAAAAAGGCAGUGGAGCCUUUUAGUUUUAUGGUUCUUUGUCAGUAAAAGAUGGG
rnacentral:lncRNA from 1 species